rnacentral:rRNA from 1 species
GAAUCUUGGACAAUGGGCGAAAGCCUGAUCCAGCGACGCCGCGUGACUGAUGAAGCCCCUCGGGGUGUCAAAGUCUUUCAGCAGGGACAAUGAUGAUGGUACCUGCAGAAGCAGCUGCGGCUAACUACGUGCCAGUAGCCGCGGUAAUACGUAGGCAGCAAGCGUUGUUCGGAAUUACUGGGCGUAAAGCGAGUGUAGGCGGUUUGCCAAGUCCGUUGUGAAAUCUCCCGGCUCAACUGGGAGGGUGCGCCGGAAACUGGCAGGCUAGAGUGCGGUAUGGGAGAGUGGAAUUCCUGGUGUAGCGGUGAAAUGCGUAGAUAUCAGGAGGAACACCGGUGGUGAAGACGGCUAUCCGGACCGCUACUGACGCUGAGACUCGAAAGCGCGGGGAGCAAACAGG